ensembl:misc_RNA Metazoa_SRP Metazoan signal recognition particle RNA
GCUGGGUGUGGUGGCGCACGCCUGUAAUCCCAGCUACUCAGGAGGCUGAGGCAGGAGAAUCGCUUGAACCCAGGAGGCGAAGGUUGCAGUGAGCGCACCACUGCACUCCAGCCUGGGUGACAGAGCAAGAGUCUGUCUCAA